AUUGCCCUAGUAACGGCGAGUGAAGCGGCAACAGCUCAAAUUUGAAAUCUGGCCCUCGGGUCCGAGUUGUAAUUUGUAGAGGAUGCUUUUGGUGAGGUACCUUCCGAGUUCCCUGGAACGGGACGCCAUAGAGGGUGAGAGCCCCGUCUGGUUGGAUACCAAACCUCUGUAAAGCUCCUUCGACGAGUCGAGUAGUUUGGGAAUGCUGCUCUAAAUGGGAGGUAUAUGUCUUCUAAAGCUAAAUACCGGCCAGAGACCGAUAGCGCACAAGUAGAGUGAUCGAAAGAUGAAAAGCACUUUGAAAAGAGAGUUAAAAAGUACGUGAAAUUGUUGAAAGGGAAGCGCUUAUGACCAGACUUGGACUUGGUUGAUCAUCCUGGGUUCUCCCUGGUGCACUCUUCCAGUUCAGGCCAGCAUCAGUUCGCUGCGGGGGAUAAAAGUUUUGGGAAUGUGGCUCCCUCGGGAGUGUUAUAGCCCAUUUCAUAAUACCCUGCUCCGGACUGAGGUUCGCGCAUCUGCAAGGAUGCUGGCGUAAUGGUCAUCAGCGACCCGUCUUGAAACACGGACCAAGGAGUCGUCUUCGUAUGCGAGUGUUCGGGUGUUAAACCCCUACGCGUAAUGAAAGUGAACGCAGGUGAGAGCUUCGGCGCAUCAUCGACCGAUCCUGAUGUUCUCGGAUGGAUUUGAGUAAGAGCAUACGGGGCCGGACCCGAAAGAAGGUGAACUAUGCCUGUAUAGGGUGAAGCCAGAGGAAACUCUGGUGGAGGCUCGCAGCGGUUCUGACGUGCAAAUCGAUCGUCAAAUAUGGGCAUGGGGGCGAAAGACUAAUCGAACCUUCUAGUAGCUGGUUUCCGCCGAAGUUUCCCUCAGGA
rnacentral:rRNA from 2 species